UCGUCGAGCAGGUCGGGGACGGUCGCGCACGGCUGCAGGCCGAGCGAGUUGCCGGCGAAGUAGGCGACCUCGGCGUACCGGCCGCCGUCGGCGGGC
rnacentral:tRNA from 1 species